AGUCGAGCGAGCUUGCCUAGAUGAUUUUAGUGCUUGCACUAAAUGAAACUAGAUACAAGCGAGCGGCGGACGGGUGAGUAACACGUGGGUAACCUGCCCAAGAGACUGGGAUAACACCUGGAAACAGAUGCUAAUACCGGAUAACAACACUAGACGCAUGUCUAGAGUUUGAAAGAUGGUUCUGCUAUCACUCUUGGAUGGACCUGCGGUGCAUUAGCUAGUUGGUAAGGUAACGGCUUACCAAGGCAAUGAUGCAUAGCCGAGUUGAGAGACUGAUCGGCCACAUUGGGACUGAGACACGGCCCAAACUCCUACGGGAGGCAGCAGUAGGGAAUCUUCCACAAUGGACGAAAGUCUGAUGGAGCAACGCCGCGUGAGUGAAGAAGGGUUUCGGCUCGUAAAGCUCUGUUGGUAGUGAAGAAAGAUAGAGGUAGUAACUGGCCUUUAUUUGACGGUAAUUACUUAGAAAGUCACGGCUAACUACGUGCCAGCAGCCGCGGUAAUACGUAGGUGGCAAGCGUUGUCCGGAUUUAUUGGGCGUAAAGCGAGUGCAGGCGGUUCAAUAAGUCUGAUGUGAAAGCCUUCGGCUCAACCGGAGAAUUGCAUCAGAAACUGUUGAACUUGAGUGCAGAAGAGGAGAGUGGAACUCCAUGUGUAGCGGUGGAAUGCGUAGAUAUAUGGAAGAACACCAGUGGCGAAGGCGGCUCUCUGGUCUGCAACUGACGCUGAGGCUCGAAAGCAUGGGUAGC
rnacentral:rRNA from 1 species